UUUACUCAGUGCUGUUGCUUAAGCCUUGCCAUAGAAGUUUGACAUAGGUUGCGUUAUAUUUCUAUCUCGCACUCAGUUAGGCACUUUCUUGCAGCUAAUAGAGAUUUUAUGUGAUUGUGAUGGGGAGCUUUUGCUGGUCAGAAGAGUUUUAUUAGACAAAUUCUCUAUUUUUAUGGUUUAGAACAACUUUGUAGAUUGAAGGACAUAGUGUGUGCUAUUGGUUCUUGUAGCUUUAUUUGAACUCAGUAUCUUGUAGACUAUAGUAUCGUAUUAUGGUAUUGAUUGCAAUCUACUUAGUGUGAUCUAAGAUAGUUUCUCGAAUGUUUUUAUUAUCUGUUUAAUAGGGCAUGUGAUGUUUACAUCAAUGAUCAUUAUCCAGGUUUUGGAUAACAUGUAGGAGUCGGCUGGUAUGAAAUUAUGGUAUAUAAUUUCUUUUAGUUUAAAGGUUUAGUUUUAGAAGGAACAGAGAAAUGAUAUGGGUUUGUUUGUAUAUGGCACUACAACAAAAAGUCUCUUUAGCGACCAAGUUUUUCUCGAGGAAUUUAUUUUCCUCAGUAAAUGUCACAUUUUACAAGGAAUAAUUAAGUUCCUCACUAAAUGCCAUUAGAUUUUUUACGAGGAACAUAUUUUCCUCCCUAUAUAUGACUUUCUAUGACGAAUAUUUCAGUUCAUCACUAAAGGUGACCACAAUUUGGUCUCUCAAAUCGUCAUGUUAUUAGCGAGAAAAUAUGAGACUUCAGUGACAAAUUUUUUCAUCACAAAAACAACAUUCAACGAGGAAAUAAUGAUUUCGUCGUUAUUUGUUUGGCGGAAAAUUGUUUAGGACCCGCCAAAUUUGAUGGCAACAAAACUAUGGUUUCCUCCCUGAAAGUCUAUUUUCUACGAGAAACCAUUUCCUCGUUAAAAGAAACAAUUAGCGAGGAAAUAACACUUUACUCGUUAUUAGUUUGGCGGAUAAUUGAGUAAGGCCCGCCAAAUUAAUUGGCGACAAAACUAUGGUUUUCUCGCUAAAAGUCUAUGUUCUACGAGGAACCAUUUCCUCGUUAAAAGAAACAAUUAGCGAGGAAAUAACACUUUCCUCGUUAUUAGUUUAGCGGAUAAUUGAGUAAAACCCGCCAAAUUUAUUGGUGACAAAACUAUGGUUUCCUCGCUAAAAGUCUAUGUUAUACGAGGAAUCAUUUUCUCACCAAAAGAAGCAAUUAAUGAGGAAAUAACGCUUUCCUUGUUAUUAGUUUGGUUGAAAAUUGAGUACGACCCGCCAAAUUCAAUAGCGACAAAACUAUGAUUUCUUCCCUAAAAGUUUGUGUUCUAUGAGGAACCAUUUCCUCACUAAAAGAAGCAUUUAGUGAGAAAAUAACACUUUCCUCCUUAUUAGUUUAGUGGAAAACUAAGUAUGAUUUGUCAAAUCCAACGGCGACAAAAUUAUGGUUUCUUCGCUAAAAAACUGUUUUCUACUUGUCAAAAGAAGCAAUUAGCGAGGAAAUAACUAUUUUCCUCGUUAUUAGUUCAGAAAAUUGGGUAAGACCCUCCAAAUUGAACGGCGAAAAAAUGAGGAAAUUUGAGAUGAAGAGAUACGUUUACCUGCAAUAAAUGAAUAUAUAAAUAAGAUUACCAAUGAAUGACAUGUGCUAGGUGUCUAUAUUUGUCAUAAUCAUUUUUUUUAUUUUUUUAAAGUGUGGAAUGCAUUAUUGACAUAUUUGAUUUCAUGAUCAUUAAAAUUCAUAUACACAAGCAUUAUUCAUAUUUUUGCUUUAAAAGUAUGAUCAAAUAUCAUGGACCUCUUUAAAAUCGGAAGGUGGUAUUGUAUGAAUGAUUUCAUAGUUACUAAACAAGUUAGUGAUAAUUGAUUGUCCUUCACGAUACUAAUUUGAUAUGUUCAUUUGUAAACAUUAGUAUGAAUGACUCGUUUUCGCUUCCCGGGUUUCUGCAAUUGAGUUUCCCUUUACUACAUCUCUCCUACUUAAGAACCACUGCAUCAUACAUGGCAUGAAUUUAUAUUUCCUACCUCGAUAAUAUGACAAUGACUCAUGAUACAACCUAUUUUGUAUAUACAUGGAUACUGUUGUUCAAUAAUGAAUGUCUUUCUUGUUCAAUUUGAUGGAGUACAUGUGGAACACACUAUGCAAAAUGUGCUUGAUUGAAGUAUUUAGUUAUAAAUAAUGAUAGCAAGUAUUCAAAUAAAAUAUCAUUAAGCUAUUCACAAACAUAAACUUAUCCUAUAACCUAACCCCUAAUCCCUAAGCCCUAAACCCUAAAUCUAUUUUUAUUUUUAUAAGCGGCAUACCAAAGAAUUAGAGAAAAAAGAAAAGAUAAUAAAAAAACCGGGAUAGUGAUGAUCGAAGGCGGGCAUCGAAAAAAAGAAAGCGCUAAUCCAAAGUUUAAAAAGAAAAAAAUGAAGAUAAAAUACUCUUAGGGUAGUAGGAUAUCGCCCUUUUCUAUCUCCGCCGUUCUCCUCUCAUAGUCUGAUGAAGCUCUGUCUUCGUCUCUGAGGCUCCUCUUUGGAUCUACCAUCUUUGAAGCUCUCAUCUCAGACAAGGAGAUGUUGAUACCAGGUAAAUUCAAUCUUCUGUCGCUGCACUACCAAUUGCUCUCUUAUUCUAGGUUCGAAUUGGGUCUUUGCUACCAUAUUUGGUCCCACGUUUCAAGUUGGGGUCUCAACUUCCACUAGAUUGUGCACAGGGAAAUGUAGGGCAAUUUUCCUCAUAUAUGCUUCAUGCACAGGGCCUUGAAAUAAUUCAAAUUACUUCUGGAUCAAGAGAACCCAAUAAGAUAUUGGAGGUUCGGUUGUACUAUUGCUAGCUAGCUUCAUGCACAGGGCCUUGAAAUUACUUAUGGAUCAAGAGAACUCGGAGAAAAGUUUUGGGUUAGGAUGUUGUUGGAUACAACUUAUUUAUAUCAUGUGUGAAAUUGACCACCAGAUUUGAGUGGUCAUAACAUAUGAGAUGAAGCAACGUUUCAGAGAGUAUGUUAUGCAAUUCUGGAAACGAAUUUUAAGGUGCUAAAGCCCUAUACAAAACCUCUAAAAGAGAAAUUCCAUUUCUAGUGACGAGUUCCAAGUGCAAGAGUAGAAAAGAUUCCAAGAUUUGGGGAAGUAAUCAGGAGGAUGCCUAUGAUUUAGUUCACCAAUAACCAAAUGAUUUAGUUACUUCUAUAUUGGAUUUAGUACAGGACAAUCCCUAAACUCUUUUGAAUUAGUAUAUAGUAUUUGGUGUAACUACUUUGAAUUAGUACUUAUUGUAAGGGAAUACUUUGAGUUAU